rnacentral:lncRNA from 1 species
UAAUGAAUAGUAUUUUGGGAUUGGCGUUUUUUUAUUGAAGAAAUCCCUCGGAAUAAAAGCCAAAUCUUAUCCAAGAGAAAUAUAUAUAUUUAAUAUUAAUAUGCGGUUAUAUUAUUAUAUACAUCCAUUUCCCAGAAAAUACAAUGUCACCAUGACAAGCAAUUACAAGACUGCCAAAUUGGUCGGCCAAAAGCAUACCAUAUUAUAAGGAAACAUAGUGAACAAUAAUAUCCUAUCAUAUGAAUCUCGUAUGGUUGACGAAGCUAAUUAAUUAUAAAGUAAAAAGCUUCUUAGGGAUCUGCGACAGUCCCCAUUUUGCUCUUUUUAUGAGGUGAUUUUGAGCUUCUGUUAAUUGAGAUUUUGUUGCUUAAGAUACGUAGCUUCUGCAAAGAUGUAUUUUCUCUAAUUUCAAGUUUUGGUUGGGUGAAUGGGCGCUAGGGUAUUCGUGCUUACAUUUAUAUUGCCAUGAAUCUAUUCAGG